rfam:Myotis lucifugus cont2.18158, whole genome shotgun sequence.
GGUAGGGGGGGGGAGUCCCUCAGUCCGGAUUGUGAGAGGGCACAGGCCAGGCCAAGGGACCCCACUGGUGUCUG